UAGGGAAUCUUCGGCAAUGGGGGGAACCCUGACCGAGCAACGCCGCGUGAGUGAAGAAGGUUUUCGGAUCGUAAAGCUCUGUUGUAAGAGAAGAACGGGUGUGAGAGUGGAAAGUUCACACUGUGACGGUAUCUUACCAGAAAGGGACGGCUAACUACGUGCCAGCAGCCGCGGUAAUACGUAGGUCCCGAGCGUUGUCCGGAUUUAUUGGGCGUAAAGCGAGCGCAGGCGGUUAGAUAAGUCUGAAGUUAAAGGCUGUGGCUUAACCAUAGUAUGCUUUGGAAACUGUUUAACUUGAGUGCAGAAGGGGAAAGUGGAAUUCCAUGUGUAGCGGUGAAAUGCGUAGAUAUAUGGAGGAACACCGGUGGCGAAAGCGGCUCUCUGGUCUGUAACUGACGCUGAGGCUCGAAAGCGUGGGGAGCAAACAGGAUUAGAUACCCUGGUAGUCCACGCCGUAAACGAUGAGUGCUAGGUGUUAGGCCCUUUCCGGGGCUUAGUGCCGCAGCUAACGCAUUAAGCACUCCGCCUGGGGAGUACGACCGCAAGGUUG
rnacentral:rRNA from 1 species